rnacentral:rRNA from 1 species
GCUUAACGCGAAGAACCUUACCAAGCCUUGACAUGUCCGGACAGGCCCUGGAAACGGGGUCCUCCCAGCAAUGGGUCGGAACACAGGUGCUGCAUGGCUGCCGUCAGCUCGUGUCGUGAGAUGUUGGGUUAAGUCCCGUAACGAGCGCAACCCUUGUCCUUAGUUACCAGCACGUUAUGGUGGGCACUCUAAGGAGACUGCCGGUGACAAACCGGAGGAAGGUGGGGAUGACGUCAAGUCAUCAUGGCCCUUACGGCCUGGGCUACACACGUGCUACAAUGGUCGGUACAAAGGGUUGCCAAGCCGCGAGGUGGAGCUAAUCCCAUAAAACCGAUCGUAGUCCGGAUCGCAGUCUGCAACUCGACUGCGUGAAGUCGGAAUCGCUAGUAAUCGUGAAUCAGAAUGUCACGGUGAAUACGUUCCCGGGUCUUGUACACACCG